AUUGAACGCUGGCGGCAGGCAUAACACAUGCAAGUCGAACGAGUGGCGGACGGGUGAGUAAUGUCUGGGAACCUGCCUGUUAGCUGGGGAUAACUACUGGAAAGGGUUGCUAAUACCGCAGACAAUUGGAUGUGGCUAUAUGGGAUUCGCUAGUUGGUGGGGUAAAGGCUUACUAGGGCGACGAGCCCUAGCUGGUCUGAGAGGAUGACCAGCCACACUGGGACUGAGACACGGUCCAGACACCUACGGACGGCAUCAGUGGGGAAGUUUGCACAAUGGGCGCAAGUCUGAUGCAGCCAUCCCGCGUGUAGGAUGAAGGCCUUCGGGUUGUAAAGUACUUUCAGCGGUGAGGCGAUAACCGUAGAAGAAGCGCCGGCUAACUACGUGCCAGCAGCCGCGGUAAUUC
rnacentral:rRNA from 1 species